CAGAGUUAUCUAACUCCCAAACCCAUGUGAACUUACCAUUUGUUGCCUCGGCAGAGCCUACCCGGUAACUGUUCGGAGAAGCUACCCUGUAGCUACCCUGUAACGGCCUACCCUGUAACGUCCUGCCGGUGGACUUUUAAACUCUUGUUAUUUUAUAGUAAUCUGAGUAAAUGAUUAAAUAAAUCA
rnacentral:misc_RNA from 1 species